rnacentral:misc_RNA from 1 species
UUUCCGUAGGUGAACCUGCGGAAGGAUCAUUAUCGUACAAAAUCUGAGGGGCAUUCCAUGGCUGUCGCGGACCAAAAACUCCUGCACGCCCGCGUGUGUCCUCUUGUAUAAUAAUCCAUCUCACCCUUUGUGCAUCCCGGCGUGUGCACCCUUCGGGUUCAUCUCGCAGGCGGGCUCGCGUUUUCACACAAACCCCCCUUUUUAAAGCGUAGAAUUACCACUUUUAUGCAAUAAAUACAACUUUCAACAACGGAUCUCUUGGCUCUC